GGCGAAAUAGCUCAAUGGUAGAGCAUCGGAAUCAUAAUCCGCUUGUUGAGAGUUCAAUUCUCUCUUUCGCUC
rnacentral:tRNA from 1 species